UGCAAAUGAUGAGCUGCCUUUGGUCCGUGUUUUUGAGAUCACUCUAUGAUAUGUGACAAGGCAUGUCUGAUGAA